AAGUAGCAUCUCGCAAUUAUACGCCAUUUUCUUCUAUGGUUAUCUCUAGCAAUUAAUUUUGGAAUUUGUGCAAUAAUGUCUUUGAAGUCGUGUAAUCCAAGACAUUGUUAUGACAUAUUUGUGUAAAGCAUUAAUUCCUACGGUUUCGCUGUGAGAACGAAUGAAUUGAAAACUCGACGCAACAGUAAUAAUUAUUAUUCUGAUAUCAGAUCUUAUAUGUAUCGAUCAGUUUUAUUUAAUGACCCUGUGCUUAUUAUAAAUAAUAUGUGGAGCAUGCGUUCGGUCCGUAUCUUGACAUUAAGGUAAGUUUCUUGUUCUCUUCUUGAUUGUUAUAAAUUCCUUUCCCGAGCUAAGCACAUUCAAAGAAACGCGGUUUUCUAAAUUAAGGUAUCAAUUCAGAACAAUUUGCUCCAUUGUUAUCCAAUUGUUAUUUGCAAAUGUUCGGUGAUUUGCUAAAACAACACGUUCAGCCCUUUCCCGUAUGCCAGUGGCAGA